rnacentral:rRNA from 1 species
AUUGAACGCUGGCGGCAGGCCUAACACAUGCAAGUCGAGCGUGCGGCGGACGGGUGAGUCAUGUCUGGUAGACUGCCUGUUUGAGAGGGAUUACUACUGGAAACGGUAGCUAAUACCGCAUACCAUCAGAUGUGCGCUGAUGGGAUUAGCUAGUAGGUGGGGUAAUGGCUCACCUAGGCGACGUUCCCUAGCUGGUCGGAGAGGAUGACCAGCCACACUGGAACUGAGACACGGUACAGACUCAUAGGGGAGGCAGCAUUGGGGAAGAUUGCACAAGGGGCGCGGGCCUGAUGCAGACAGGCCGAGUGUGUGAAGAAGGAAUUCGGGGUGUAAAGCACUUUCAGCGGGGAGGCGUUACCCGCAGAAGAAGCACCGGCUAACUACGUGCCAGCAGCCGCGGUAAUUC